ACCACGACAUGCCUUGAAAUGGAUUCAACCUUAAAGGUUUCAGAGAAAAAAUAAAAUAAAAUAAAAUAAAAUAAAAUAAAAUAAAUAAUAAAAUAAAAUAAAAUAAAAUAAAAUAAAUAAUAAAAGGUUUCAGAGGGCACAGGUCAGCGAGUCCUCAGCCUUAUAUAACCCCCAGGGCUCACCAUGUGCCCUCCUUCAUGCCCAUCACCCGGGCACCCCGUCCCCCCAAGCCCUCCCCACUCCAGUGACCCUGAGUUUAUUUCCUGUGACCAAGAGUCUCUUCCGGUUUGUCUCCCUUUCUGAUUUUGUCUUGUUUUACUUUUUCCUCUCUUCCCCUCCAGGAUCCUUUGCUGGACCUCUUCACUGCCACGGGUGCGUGAGGCCCUGGGAUCCGUGUCUUCCUCCCACUGGCUUAGGGCGCACUUGGUCUCCUGGGCAGGGCUGCGGGGUGCCCGGUGUGCACCCCGCCGUUCAGGCUGGUGAACGGAGGGGGAGGCUCCAAAGUGGCUCAGCUAAACAUUUCCUGGUGUGCCCGGUAAUAACAGGCAGCUGUCCUGUCAGCUCCACUGAAAAAUGAGAUAAUAAGGCAGGCAAAGUGAUGUCCUUUAUAUCCUGAAUCUACCACUUCCUGCAGUUUUCUUCUCGAACGCUUGAAGUAACAAGGAUCCGUGCAAUUUUCAGGCUGUUUCUUCUAAAAAAAAGUUUGUCCAGAUUCUUGGGGAGUGUCAUUUCCCUCUGGGACAUUUGGUGGAAAAAGAGGCCGCCUGCUUCAUUGCACCAGGACAGAAGGCUUCCAAGAAGCCUUGGAAUGGGGUUCGUGGAUGGAUGGAAGUCUCACCCCAGAGGCCAGUGAGGUGAUGAGAGCUGCAGCAGCGUCUGGAGGGGUGGCCUGGCUCCCCGAGAGGACAACCACUGGGGACCUCUCUGUCGCACCACUGGGAUGACCGGCCUGUGGGAAGCCGCAGCGAGAGCGGAGUAGUGCUCCUGCUGCUCUCGACAGGCUUCCCAGGGGCCUGGAAGCCUUUUUUUGGUUGUUUUUUGUUUUUUGUUUUUGUUUUUGUUUUUUUUUUUUAAGUUAACGAAGCCAACAACUUCUCGUUUAAUUCUUUCCAACUCUACAGACAUGAUUCUGCUUUCACCUUCAUUACACUUUCAUAUGGUUUUAGCAGGGGAUAUACCUCCUCUCCUAAGAAUCUCUGCACCUGUCGGGAUGCAGAAGAGAAGAAGAAGGAUCCAGUAGACGGUCCAACUGGGGGUGAAUGGGACUAACGUAGGCCUCAGCCUGGAUUCACUCUAUGAGGUCACUGUCACCCCCUUCCUGCUUGACCACAGCAGCUGCCUCCUGGGAAAGCACCCUGAUUUUCUCAUGGAAUCCUGGCGGUUACCCCCAGCUGUCACUCGGCCAUGAUGAUGUUCUCUGUGGCCACGAAGGGUAGCUCUUGCCGAAUGCGCCGCUCGAUUACUUUGGGGUACACCACCAAUCCUUCAGAAAUGUUCUCCUGCUGAGAAACCCGCAACUGGGUAGGUAGGAUGGGCUCACCCCGGGGAGCGCAGGUGGUGUGCGAGGUGUGAGCUUGGAGGCGUCCUGGGACUCAUCUGUGGCUCUCCUACAUUUGACAGCAAAAAAAGCAAGUCGAGGGGGAUCCCUGGAUGGCUCAGUGGUUGAGCAUCCGCCUUCAGCCUGGGGCAUAGUCCUGGAGUCCCAGAAUCAAGUCCCACAUCGGGCUCCCUGCGUGGAGCCUGCUUCUCCCUCUGUCUGUGUCUCUGCUUCUUUCUCUGUGUCUCUCAUGAAUAAACAAAUUAAAUCUUAAAAAAAAAAAAAAGCA
rnacentral:lncRNA from 12 species